ACGAAGGAGCGAUCUGGAGCAAACCCAAAAAAGACAGUCUCAGUUCGGAUUGAAGGCUGAAAUUCGCCUUCAUGAAGCCGGAAUUGCUAGUAAUGGCAGGUCAGCAUACUGCCGUGAAUACGUUCCCGGGCCUUGUACACACCGCCCGUCACACCAUGGAAGUCUGCAAUGCCCGAAGCCGGUGGCCUAACCACUUAUGUGGAAGGAGCCGUCUAAGGCAGGGCAGAUGACUGGGGUGAAGUCGUAACAAGGUACC
rnacentral:rRNA from 1 species